rnacentral:rRNA from 1 species
AAUGAACGUUGGCGGCGUGGAUUAGGCAUGCAAGUCGAGCGCUCAUAGCAAUAUGGGAGCGGCGAACGGCGUAGGAAUUCAUAGGAACGUACCCUCAGGUCGGGGAUAGCUACGGGGAAACUGUAGGUAAUACCCCGAUUAUCUCCGUGGAGCAAAGGUGUGAUUCCGCCUGAGGAGCGGCUUAUGCGAUAUUAGCUAGUUGGUGGGGUAAUGGGCCUACCAAGGGCAAAGAUGUCUAGGGGGGUNUGAGAGCAUGGCCCCCCACGACCGGAACUGAGACACUGUCCGGACACCUACGGGAGGCAGCCAGUGAGGAAUAUUGCGCAAUGGAGGCAACUCUGACGCAGCCA